UACAUGUGGGGCAAGCGUUGUUCGGAUUUACUGGGCGUAAAGGGCGCGUAGGCGGCCUCUGCAAGUCGACUGUGAAAUCUCCGGGCUUAACCCGGAAAGGUCAGCCGAUACUGCAGGGCUAGAGUGCAGAAGGGGCAACUGGAAUUCCCGGUGUAGCGGUGAAAUGCGCAGAUAUCGGGAGGAACACCAGUGGCGAAAGCGGCUUCCUGGUCCAGCACCGACGUCAGGCACGAAAGCGUGGGGAGCAACAGGAUGAGAUACCC
rnacentral:rRNA from 1 species